UACGGAGGGUGCAAGCGUUAUCCGGAUUCACUGGGUUUAAAGGGUGCGUAGGCGGGCAGGUAAGUCAGUGGUGAAAUCUUUGGGCUUAACCCGAAAACUGCCAUUGAUACUAUCUGUCUUGAAUAUUUGUGGAGGUGAGCGGAAUAUGUCAUGUAGCGGUGAAAUGCUUUAGAUAUGACAUAGAACACCCAUUGCGAAGGCAGCUCACU
rnacentral:rRNA from 1 species